UAGCCUCCUCCUAGCUAGUGGGCUCUUCCCAUCUUUUCUCUUUUAGGUCUCUCUUCGUCGCGCAUUUUUCUUUUCUUUGUGAGAUUUGCUGCUGCUGCUGCUCGCGCUACUACUGCUACUGGACCUUUGGAUUCUUCGAGCGCACUGUGUUCUUGUUUGGCGUGUCGCGCUGCCCAUCUCCAUCAAUCAAUCAAUCUCACGCACCCACAUUGGAUUGACCAUGGGUGGGGCGAGGUCGGAGGAGGAACACCCCCGGUGUGUGAGAGAUCUUUGUUGCCGGCUGCGAUUCGCAUUAGAAACCCCUGUGUAGUUCCUAGCCUUGUCCCUGAGAUGGUUGAUUGCUCCUAUAUGCCCAGAGAGGGGAGCUGUUCAAUCCUGUUUCGUCGGCAAAUCGAUGGACAGCAGCGCUAGACAGCUCAAAUUCCCGAGGUAAACUGUGCCAGCAUUGCUUCCUAGAUAGCUCUCCGAUCGAUUGCUUCAAAAUCCGGCUCGCAGGGGGCCGCAAUCCUCGAAUUCACUGCCCAAGAACUAGAAAACAGAGAAAGCAGAGCUUCUCUCUCUCUCUCUCUCUCUCGUCCGCGAAGGAUUUCCCACUCGCCCGGGAAAGAUGAUUAGCGGGGGCGAUUUCUACCAAGUCAUGGCCGCUGUGGUGCCGCUCUACGUCGCCAUGAUCCUGGCCUACGGCUCCGUGCGCUGGUGGGGGAUCCUCACGCCCGAGCAGUGCUCGGGCAUCAAUCGAUUCGUGGCGCUCUUCGCAGUGCCACUGCUCUCCUUCCAGAUCAUCUCCAAGAACAACCCCUACCUCAUGAACCCCCAGUUCAUCGCCGCCGACGCCAUCCAAAAGGCGGCCGUGAUGCUCGUCCUCGCCAUCUGGGCGCGCUACUCGUCGCGCGCCAGCUUCGAGUGGGUCAUCACGCACUUCAUGGUGGCGACGCUGCCCCACACGCUGGUGAUGGGAAUUCCCCUCCUCUACGCCAUGUAUGGCGAGAAGCACGGCAGCCUCGUCGUCCAGGCCUUGGUUCUCCAGUGCAUCGUCUGGUACACGCUCCUCCUCGUCAUGUACGAGUACCGCAGCGCCAAGAUCCUCAUCCUGGAGCAAUUCCCCGACACCGCCGCCUCCAUCGUCUCCUUCAAGGUGGACUCGGACGUGAUCUCGCUCGAUGGCCGCGACCAGCCCGUGCUGACCGAGGCCGAGGUGGGCGACGACGGCCGGAUCCACGUCAAGGUCCGCAAGUCCACCUCCUCCGCGCAGUCCGCCAGGUUCUCCUCCGCCUCCAUGCAUCACUUCAACUCCAACUUCGGCGCUGGCCAGUUCAAUCUCAACAACACCGCGAGAUCGCCCAUGGCAUCGAUGUUCUCGAGCAAGGCGGGCACUCCCCGCCCCUCCAAUCUCACCGGCGCCGAGAUCUACUCGCUGCAUUCUUCGCGGAAUAUGACCCCCCGCGACUCGAGCUUCACCCGCGGGGACGCGUAUCUCAUGAGCGGCGGCGGCGGCGGUGGGAACUCGAGCUUGAUGAGCUCCAACAUCUUUGGACGAGCGAGCACUGGGCAUCACGCUGGGGGGAGUCCUUUGCAUCACCACGCACACGAGGGAAUGUCCACGGGGCUCCUGAAUCAAUCCGGGAUCACUGCUAAUCGCCUGAGCUUCCAGGAGGAUCAGAGCAAUGGAUUCCACCACCACCACCACCAACACCAUAGCAACAAUAGCAACAACACGAGCAAGGUUUUGGGAGCGUACUCGCCAUCGCCAUCCAUGCAGCUCCCCAAAAAGGUGGCGAACAAUAACAUUUCCAGCACCACAGGCAAAGAUAACAGUACGCCCAAUGUUUUGCAAGGGAUUCCACAGGGAAAAUCGGCUGACUACGACGCCAAAGAGCUUCAUAUGUUUGUGUGGAGCUCGAGCGCUUCCCCAACGUCCGAGAAGGGUUUGCAUGUCUUCGGUGGAACCGACUUCAAUGCCCGAGAUGGAGCCAAGUUUGAUCCAAAAGAAACCAAACUGGUCGUCGUCUCUGAUGAUGGUCAAGUGGAAGAUACGAGGGACCGAGUUCCAGAGUACUUGCACCAGGAAUUCAGCUUUGCCGAUCGAAACGGUGCGUAUGAUCCAUCCGAUAAGCUUGAGCCGAAUCUUGCGAAGCUAGAAUCGAGCUCCACUGUGGAGCUUGCUCCAAAAACUCCAAACUUGAAUGGUGGUGGUACUGGAGAAGGGAAUCAAGCAAUGCCUCCAGCAACAGUCAUGACUAGGCUCAUCCUUGACAUGGUGUGGAGAAAACUCGUGAGGAAUCCAAACACUUACUCGAGUCUCAUCGGCUUGGUCUGGGCUCUCGUCUCUUUCAGAUUUUUUCUAGGUGGAAUGUCAAGGCGCCGAAACUCAUUGAAAAGUCCAUCACUAUUCUCUCGGAUGCUGGCUUGGGGAUGGCUAUGUUCAGUCUAGGACUUUUCAUGGCGCUGCAACCGAGAAUUUUGGCCUGUGGAACUUCCAUGGCAAUGUUUGGAAUGUUGCUCAGAUUUUUCUGUAGCCCGGCUAUCAUGUCUGUGGCGUCCAUCGCUGUGGGGUUAAGAAAGCUGGAUCUUCGAGCGGCCAUUGUCCAGGCAGCUCUACCUCAAGGAAUCGUGCCGUUCGUUUUUGCGAAAGAAUAUAAUGUUCAUCCAGAUGUUCUCAGCACGGCUGUGAUCUUCGGUAUGCUAGUGGCACUGCCUAUAACUCUUUUAUACUACGUUUUACUUGGCAUCUAGAAAAGCCUGUGCGCAGAAGAUCAAAACACCCGCGAGGAUUUCUUACAUGUGUAUGUAUAUUAAUGUCCAAAAUCAAAGGAUAAGUUCUUUGAAAUUUAAAAGAUCUUAAUUGGCGGAAA